rnacentral:rRNA from 1 species
GACGAACGCUGGCGGCGUGCUUAACACAUGCAAGUCGAACGGAAAGGCCUCUUUCGGGGGGUACUCGAGUGGCGAACGGGUGAGUAACACGUGAGUAACCUGCCCUUGACUUUGGGAUAACUUCAGGAAACUGGGGCUAAUACCGGAUAGGAGCUCCUGCUGCAUGGUGGGGGUUGGAAAGUUUCGGCGGUUGGGGAUGGACUCGCGGCGUAUCAGCUUGUUGGUGGGGUAGUGGCUUACCAAGGCUUUGACGGGUAGCCGGCCUGAGAGGGUGACCGGCCACAUUGGGACUGAGAUAAGGCCCAGACUCCUACGGGAGGCAGCAGUGGGGAAUAUUGCACCAUGGGUGGAAGCCUGAUGCAGCAACGCCGUGUGCGGGAUGACGGCCUUCGGGUUGUAAACCGCUUUCGCUCAUGACGAAGCUUUGUGUGACGGUAGUGGGUAAAGAAGCACCGGCUAACUACGUG